GCUGUCGUCAGCUCGUGUUGUGAAAUGUUGGGUUAAGUCCCGCAACGAGCGCAACCCUUAUCCUUUGUUGCCAGCGGUCCGGCCGGGAACUCAAAGGAGACUGCCAGUGAUAAACUGGAGGAAGGUGGGGAUGACGUCAAGUCAUCAUGGCCCUUACGACCAGGGCUACACACGUGCUACAAUGGCGCAUACAAAGAGAAGCGACCUCGCGAGAGCAAGCGGACCUCAUAAAGUGCGUCGUAGUCCGGACUGGAGUCUGCAACUCGACUCCAUGAAGUCGGAAUCGCUAGUAAUCGUGGAUCAGAAUGCCACGGUGAAUACGUUCCCGGGCCUUGUACACACCGCCCGUCACACCAUGGGAGUGGGUUGCAAAAGAAGUAGGUAGCUUAACCUUCGGGAGGGCGCUUACCACUUUGUGAUUCAUGACUGGGGUGAAGUCGUAACAAGGUAACCGUAGGGGAACCUGCGGUUGGAUCACCUCCUUACCUGAAAGAA
rnacentral:rRNA from 5 species